UUCUUUGGAGAGUUUGAUCCUGGCUCAGGACGAACGCUGGCGGCGUGCCUAAUACAUGCAAGUCGAGCGGACCGAACGAGGGCUUGCUCUUGUUUGGUCAGCGGCGGACGGGUGAGUAACACGUGGGCAACCUGCCCGCAAGACCGGGAUAACUCCGGGAAACCGGAGCUAAUA
rnacentral:rRNA from 1 species